CCUACGGGUGGCAGCAGUGGGGAAUAUUGGACAAUGGGCGAAAGCCUGAUCCAGCCAUGCCGCGUGUGUGAAGAAGGCCUUCGGGUUGUAAAGCACUUUCAGUGGGGAAGAAAGCCUUGGGGCUAAUACCCUCGAGGAAGGACAUCACCCACAGAAGAAGCACCGGCUAACUCCGUGCCAGCAGCCGCGGUAAUACGGAGGGUGCGAGCGUUAAUCGGAAUUACUGGGCGUAAAGCGCGCGUAGGCGGUCUGAUAAGCCGGUUGUGAAAGCCCCGGGCUCAACCUGGGAACGGCAUCCGGAACUGUCAGGCUAGAGUGCAGGAGAGGAAGGUAGAAUUCCCGGGGUAGCGGGGAAAUGCGUAGAGAUCGGGAGGAAUACCAGUGGCGAAGGCGGCCUUCUGGACUGACACUGACGCUGAGGUGCGUAAGCGUGGGUAGCAAACAGGAUUAGAUACCCCAGUAGUC
rnacentral:rRNA from 1 species